rnacentral:rRNA from 1 species
CAACUUUCAACAACGGAUCUCUUGGCUCUCGCAUCGAUGAAGAACGCAGCGAAAUGCGAUAAGUAAUGUGAAUUGCAGAAUUCAGUGAAUCAUCGAAUCUUUGAACGCAAAUUGCGCUCUUUGGUAUUCCGAAGAGCAUGCCUGUUUGAGUGUCA